rnacentral:rRNA from 1 species
GACGAACGCUGGCGGCGUGCUUAACACAUGCAAGUCGAGCGGCGCGGCGAACGGGUGAGUUACGCGUGAGUAACUGCCCCCCUCUCUGGGAUCACAGUUGGAAACGGCUGCUCAUACCGGAUAGUGGGGGAUGACUCGCGUCCUAUCAGCUUGUUGGUGGGGUAGUGGCCUACCAAGGGGACGACGGGUAGCCGGCCUGAGAGGGCGACCGGGCACAUUGGGCUGAGAGACGGCGCAAACUGCUACGGGAGGCAGCAGUGGGGAAUAUUGCACAAUGGGGGAAAGCGUGAGGCAGAGACGCCGCGUGCGGGAUGACGGCCUUCGGGUGGUAAACCGCGUUCAGCCAUGACGCGGUAGUGGCAGAAGAAGCACCGGCUAACUACGUGCCAGCAGCCGCGGUAAUUC